GAUGAACGCUGGCGGCGUGCUUAACACAUGCAAGUCGAACGAAGCACUUUAUUUGAUUUCCUUCGGGACUGAUUAUUUUGUGACUGAGUGGCGGACGGGUGAGUAACGCGUGGGUAACCUGCCUUGUACAGGGGGAUAACAGUUGGAAACGGCUGCUAAUACCGCAUAAGCGCACAGCAUCGCAUGAUGCAGUGUGAAAAACUCCGGUGGUAUAAGAUGGACCCGCGUUGGAUUAGCUAGUUGGUGAGGUAACGGCCCACCAAGGCGACGAUCCAUACCCGACCUGAGAGGGUGACCGGCCACAUUGGGGAUGAGACACGGCCCAAAAUCCUACGGGAGGCAGCAGUAGGGAAUAUUGCACAAUGGGCGAAAGCCUGAUGCAGCGACGCCGCGUGAGCGAAGAAGUAUUUCGGUAUGUAAAGCUCUAUCAGCAGGGAAGAUAAUGACGGUAACUGACUAAGAAGCACCGGCUAAAUACGUG
rnacentral:rRNA from 1 species